UUGACCUCAAAUCAGGUAGGACUACCCGCUGAACUUAAGCAUACAA
rnacentral:rRNA from 3 species